rnacentral:rRNA from 1 species
UACGAAGGGGGCUAGCGUUGCUCGGAAUUACUGGGCGUAAAGGGCGCGUAGGCGGAUGUUUAAGUUGGGGGUGAAAGCCCAGGGCUCAACCCUGGAAUUGCCUUCAAUACUGGGCAUCUUGAGUACGGGAGAGGUGUGUGGAACUCCGAGCGUAGAGGUGAAAUUCGUAGAUAUUCGGAAGAACACCAGUGGCGAAGGCGACACACUGGCCCGUUACUGACGCUGAGGCGCGAAAGCGUGGGGAGCAAACAGG